GGGGGGGGGGCUCAGUGGCCCAGCACCUGCUCAGCAUGCAGAAGGUCCCGGGUUCAAUCCCAGGUGUCUCCA
rnacentral:tRNA from 1 species